GACGAACGCUGGCGGCGUGCUUAACACAUGCAAGUCGAACGGAAAGGCCCUGCUUUUGUGGGGUGCUCGAGUGGCGAACGGGUGAGUAGCACGUGAGUAACCUGCCCUUGACUUUGGGAUAACUUCAGGAAACUGGGGCUAAUACCGGAUAGGAGCUCCUGCUGCAUGGUGGGGGUUGGAAAGUUUCGGCGGUUGGGGAUGGACUCGCGGCUUAUCAGCUUGUUGGUGGGGUAGUGGCUUACCAAGGCUUUGACGGGUAGCCGGCCUGAGAGGGUGACCGGCCACAUUGGGACUGAGAUACGGUCCAGACUCCUACGGGAGGCAGCAGUGGGGAAUAUUGCACAAUGGGCGGAAGCCUGAUGCAGCAACGCCGCGUGCGGGAUGACGGCCUUCGGGUUGUAAACCGCUUUCGCCUGUGACGAAGCGUGAGUGACGGUAAUGGGUAAAGAAGCACCGGCUAACUACGUG
rnacentral:rRNA from 1 species